CGCGGUAUUUUGACCGUGCGAAGGUAGCAUAAUCAUUAGUCUUUUAAUUGAAGGCUUGUAUGAAGGGUCGGACGAGAGGUUAGCUGUCUCUGUUGGGGGGAUAUAAUUUAACUUUUAAGUGAGAGGGCUUAAAUAUUCUAAAGGGACGAUAAGACCCUAUAAAGUUUGACAUUUUAUUUAUUAAAAAAUAAAAUAGGAGGGUAAUUUUUAUUAGUGAGAUAUUGUUUUGUUGGGGUGACUGAAAUAUAAAAAAUUUAACUGUUUUAUAUUAUUACAAAAAUGUUUGAUUUUUUGAUCCUUGAUAAAGGUGCAAGAACAAAUUACUUUAGGGAUAACAGCGUAAUUUUUUUUGAGAGUCCUUAUCGACAAGAAAGUUUGCGACCUCGAUGUUGAAUUAAAGAGUUCUUUAUGGCGUAGCGGCUAUACAAGAGGGUCUGUUCGACCUUUAA
rnacentral:rRNA from 1 species